UGUACUACCGAUAACCGUUUGAGAGAAGGGAUGACACAGUAGGAUAAGCUAAGCACACUGUUGGUUAUGUGUGCCCAAGCAUUGAGGCAGUCAAAGUAGGCAAAUCCGCUUUGAUAAUGCUGGGAUGUGAUGGGGAGCGAAAUUUAGUAGCGAAGUAGCUGAUUUCACACUGUCAAGAAAAGUCUCUAUCGAGGUUAAAGGUACCCGUACCGCAAACCGACACAGGUGGGUGAGGAGAGUAUCCUAAGGCCAGCGAGAGAACUGUUGUUAAGGAACUCGGCAAAAUGACCCCGUAACUUAGGGAGAAGGGGUGCCACCAUCAGGUGGCCGCAGAGAAUAGGCCCAAGCGACUGUUUACCAAAAACAUAGGUUUCUGCUAAGUCGCAAGACGAUGUAUAGGAGCUGACGCCUGCCCGGUGCUGGAAGGUUAAGGGGAUCUGUUAGAGCAAUCGAAGCAGUGAACUGAAGCCCCAGUAAACGGCGGCCGUAACUAUAACGGUCCUAAGGUAGCGAAAUUCCUUGUCGGGUAAGUUCCGACCCGCACGAAAGGCGUAACGAUUUGGGCACUGUCUCAACAACAGACUCGGUGAAAUUGUAAUUCCGGUGAAGAUGCCGGAUACCUGCGACAGGACGGAAAGACCCCAUGGAGCUUUACUGUAGCUUGACAUUGGGUCUUGGUACUACAUGUACAGGAUAGGUGGGAGGCUUUGAAACCAGGACGCCAGUUUUGGCGGAGCCAUCCUUGGGAUACCACCCUUGUAGUACUGGGACUCUAACCAUAGGCCAUGAAUCUGGUCUUGGGACACUGUCAGGUGGGCAGUUUGACUGGGGCGGUCGCCUCCCAAAAGG
rnacentral:rRNA from 1 species